GGACGGGAGCCGCUCCCGGGCGGCACACAGCCGAGUCCCUCCUCCCCUCCCCGCAGGCAGCCUGUGCCUUUUCUCCAAACGAAGACAGCACUUUGAAAAUUCUUUCAAUGGAUUUUUUUUUCCUUGAAAGAUCGUACUGGGGGAAAAUGAUACUUCUAUUAGUUACAUAUUCUCCAAUCGCAUACUCGCACCCCCCUCGUUUUGAGAUCGCUCCCCUAGGCAGGCUCAGGCGGGCGCGGAGCCGCGCGGAGUGACAAAGCCGCCGCUGCCGCCGCCGGGGGUGGGAGCCGCGCUCGCCCGCCCGCCCCUCGACUCGCGAGGGCGUAAAAGUUUGUCUCAGCUCGAGCAUUCCUAGCGCCAACACGCCCUCAGGUAAAGGUGGAAGUAAAUGGCCACGCUGUAUUGACAGAGCAGGUAGAUGAAACUCAAGAGAAAAGGUGUGGAUAAAUGAAACUAGCCCAUGAUGAACCUGUUUUCUCCGUGACCACAAUAUUAACCAGGAUGAAUGGCGAUACACUGCCUCUAGGACUGGGACAGAUAGCCACUGAGUACCUGCUUCAAAUCACCCUGCACGUUUUCUCUUUGGAAAGAUAAGCACUGGAGAACCAUCUCGUUACCUUCAGCAGAAAUGGAAACAAAUCAAGACAUUAAGAAUGCCGCAGUGGACAGCAGUUAUGCAAGGUUCAGCAGAGGAAGUUUUCAAGAUGGUGUGCCUCACUAGCCAGAAAUCAGAAAAGAUCGAAGCUAGCCUUUUCAUCUCAGCUGCUCCUUAAAUCAGUGCAACCCCUCCAAAUUAAUGUGAAUUGAAACUUGCAUUGCUUUUCAACUUAAUUGAAUACUUACUAUAUGUGAACCACUGCACAAAAUAGGGGAAGAAGAUGUGGGAGACAAAGAUGUGGAGCCUGUCUUCAAUAAAUUUACAGUUAGUUUCAGGGUACAUUGUUUUUCUUCUGCUGUUAAUUAGGUGUAUCCCCAAGACAAUAAAUACAUGAAUGGAAAAGUAUAUUCUGUGUUUUAAGUCUCUUUAAUAAAAAACAAAACAAAAUCCAAAAAAACUCCUAACAUGGCAACUCAGGACAUUUUAAUCCUUUUUUUUGUUGUUGGGCUUCUGAUAGGAUCCAUUUUAUUGAUUCCAUAAAUAUUUAGUAGACUUUAGACAUAUUAAUACAUUGUAGUUUGAGUUAAUUUGCAUUAAAUUCUGUUUUUUUCCCCUUAGGUAUAGAUUGUCUGUUGGAAAAAUAUAUUGCUUGUGGAUUUCUUGGGGAGUGGGAAGGUGAAUUAUACCUGUUGUCUCUACAGUCCACUACCUUCCACACCCUAGGGCAGUGGUCCCCAACCUUCUUGGCACCAGGGAUCAGUUUCCUGGAAGACAAUUUUUCUGUGGAUGGUGUGGGGAUGGUUUUGGGAUGGAACUGUUCCACCUCAGAUCAUCAGGCAUUAGUUAGGCUCUCAUAACGAGUGCGCAGCCUAGAUCCCUCACAUGCACAGUUCACAGUAGGGUUUGCGCUGCUAUGAGAAUCUAAGGCUGCCACUGAUCUGACAGGAGGCAGAACUCAGGUGGCAAUGCUUACUGGCCCACUGCUCACCUCUUGCUGUGCGGCCUGGUUCCUAAUAGGCCAUGGACCCCCACAGACGGGUACUAGUCUGCAGCCUGUGGACCCCAGCCCUAGGGGCCUGCCAUUCUGAGUGAGUUAUUAGCAUGAAGAAGAGGAAGAUCUGGAUCAAACGUGGGUGAUGGUACUCAGAGACCCAAGAUAGGAUAGGGAUGGAACAAAAUCCAUCUGGGCAACGGCUCUAUGAAAAUUUGGCUAAGUAAUUAUUUCAGUAUUCAUUGUAUUCAUUGUCCUUCGUGUUCCAUAAGUUAAAUGACUGUCUAAUUUUUCCAAAAAUUUAUUUCUGACUUGAGAAUAAGUGUGUCAUGAUUUUCCCAGUGUAAAGACACUGAUAUAACUGUAGAUACCAGACAUUUUAUGUAGUGUCUAUGACACAUUUUAGUAUGUAUGAGCCAACAAUAGACAUGUCUUUGUCUUGAGGAGUGUCCAUCUGAAUUGAAAAUGUGUCAGCUUUUUUUUAACAUCAUCAACAGACUUCUUAAUUAAGCUGCCAAUACAUACUGCCAAUAGCACUGUGUGCUGUCUGAGAAAUGCAUUGUGUAAGUGCUAUUUCCAUCUUAUUAAAUAAACAAUGUUGCUCUGUAUAAACUGGAUUUAAAGUGUUCUUUGAAUGAGGCAUUAUAUUGCUCCAUAAAUAAUGUGAUGUGAAUUCUCAUAUGAUCCCUUUUAACUUAAUUUCUAAAAAAAUAUUAUUUGCUCCUCAGUAAGGAAUAGCUCUAAUUGGACUGGUAACUUUAGUGAUAUGAUUUGUCUGUAACAGGCUGAAUCGCCCCACUCCCAAACUCCUGGUCGUGAUACUGGAUAUUUGUUAUGCCACUUUUAGUUUGCAUGAGGUAUCUUCCAGGAAGUAUUAGUUAUUAACUUGUGUUCUACUAAACUGUAGAUAUUUAUUUCCUGUUCUGGAAGAUUUCUUGG
ensembl:lncRNA NR2F1-AS1 NR2F1 antisense RNA 1